rnacentral:lncRNA from 1 species
AUGCAGCAAGGCGGAUAUUCAAGAUGGAAAUUACGGACUCCUAUGGAAGGUAGAUUUCAAAUUAUUAUUCUCCAAAUUGCUAUCGUGGCUGUUGGCUUGCUGCCCGUAGUUAAAUUAGCUCUCAAACAAGAAGAGAAGGAGCUUUCAUCGAAGGAAAUAGAAGAUAUAUUGAGAGAUGACUACAUCAUUCCAGACGUAAUUUAUAAAGUGCCAAAACAUAGAUUGAAGGUGCAUUUUGAAGAGGACGGAGAUAUUUACCACAUCAACUACGGUACUGUUUUGACACCGCGACAAGCAAGGCAUCAGCCAAAAGUUCAGUGGCCUGUCGAAAAGGACACCGAAUAUACAACUACUAUGUAUCAGUCCUGAUCAGCCAGAUCGCGAGGAACCCAUUCUUCGGGAUUGGAUCCAUUGGCAACAUGUCAACAUCAAAGGCUGCAAUUUAUCAACGGGGAAUGAAGUAAAUGAAUACAUUGGUCCAGGACCGAGCGAAACAUCCGGUAUGUGAAGAAUUGAUGAUUGUGAUGUAUUUGACCCAAAACUGAGGAGUCCAAUUUUAUUGAAGUGUUAGAAUACCUAACUUUAUCAUUUUACUUAUACGGUGCACCGUAUAAGUAAAAGUAAAAUGAUGAAGUGAAAAAAAAGUAUCACAAUCUCAAUUAUACUUCCAGCUUUUUUUUGGCGCCAGCCAUAAGAGUUGUGCGCUGGCUAGAAGUUUAAAGGUACCAGCUAGGGAUGCAGUUAAUCCAACCACACUUCCAGCUGAUUUACCCAUCCUCUGGCUUGUGCAACUAAUCUAAUAUCUAGUGCCACAAUCACGUAGGAGCAUAUUUGGGAUUGUGAUAUUUUUUUAUUUCCAUGAAGACAUUACUCGACUAAACAAAGCGAAAAACAACACAAUAAAUGGGAAACUGAGACUAAAAGAUAUUCAAAAUGCCUGGAUUUUGUUGCCUGAUUGGUGCUUCUUUUUCCUCAAACUGAUUGCAGUGGACGCACGGGUCGUAGAGUCAUACCAGGAGAAGGAGUCCUUAGCCAACGUGCGUAAAAAAAUUCAGCUUAAAGCAGAACAUCUCAUUACAGAGGAAAAAGCUCACAUGAGCACAAUUUUUCCUAAAACAAGAUACUUCAGAGUUUACACACGCCAGCGACUGAUUGCCCAAAAGUCUCGGCUGGUUUUCACGAUCUCUCCGAGCUUGGUAACAAGAAAUUCAGAAGGCUGCGCCGCACUGAGGAUUGUGCCAACAAGGCCGAAACGCGUCUGAAGUUGCCUUCCUGAAUGGUCGUAACUAGUGUUGCACCAAACAGCAUAUCUCUUUGAAGGAAAAUUGUGCUCAUAUGAAGUUUUUCCCUCUGUAUUGAGAUUUUCAGCUUUACGCUGAAUUUUCGACGCAUGUUGGCUAAAAAACUCCAACAUACUGUCUCCUUUUUCCAGGUCGAAAAGGGGGUUGAGACCACCUUGAAACGUCCCAAACAUUUGUUUGCGACUUUAGCCUUGGUUUUGUAUUAUAUAGUGUAAAGUGUAUUUUUCCGUUUUAUUAUUCAGAAUUUUUUGUGUAUUUUUCUUUUCUCUCUAUAUAAGUGGGGCUAAAUUAUGGAAAAAAACCUAAUAAUCAAUCCAAUGCUCAAAUACUGUAAAUUAUUAGAGCUCUUCUGGUACCCGAAUUUUUGCAGCCUGAAAGAAAUCACACCACUGACUCCUGAGGUUUCUUUUUUUCGAUGACAUUUAAAAUUCGUGAUAAAUGAGUAAAGUAACUAUUUGACAUCAUCAUCAUCACGUACGUUCGUUUCUUAUUGGCUGGGUAUUGUUAUUUAGUUUUAAUGAUUAAUUUUUUGUUUCUAGGUAUGCACCGGUAUGUUUUCCUCGUGUAUAAACAAGAUCCGAACUGUGCCAUUCAGCUCAACAGGUCAGAUAAAAGCGAAGGAUGAGGUAAGAAAAUUGUUUUAAAAAAUUAGUGUGUCCAAAAAGUAUACAGGGUUUCCCUAAAGUCCGUAUCUUCCCUGGCAACUUUGAACGGUUAGAGUUAGAGAUGUUUCCAAGGUUUCAUUUUUCUAUCUUUUGACGCAUAGAACCUUUCAGCACCCCCCUCAAUUGUUAUACCAAACAUCGAUUGUAGGAAAACUCAGAGUUCUGCUGAGGAACAAAUAUGAUUGCUUUAUGACGAAUCUCUUUGAUGAAGUAUACAGUAUCCACAUUUGAAUAAUAAAGUGAUUACAAUGUAUAAUUCUUCAGUUAACUACUCAUUGCUGCAAAAAUAACAAAUACUCCAUGAUAAAUAUCUAAGCAGUUAACUAAAACAACUCAAAAUCCACGACAAUUUUUUUUGACGGAGAUUAUUAUGAAUGUAGAUGUUUGACAAAACGGAUUGAAUUCGAUCCAGACAAUUUCAUCAAGCACUUUCAUCUUGGCGAUCCAUGGGCAUCAAACUAUUUCUACUCCAAGUUUAACAACUAUCAAUGAUUACGACGUGCUGGCCAGUGAGCAUGACGCAACUCUGAACAGGACGAGAUCAGUGAUUGGCAUAGAUUAUCUCCGCUUCAAAAAUGUUGAAUUGGUUUUAAUUAUUCGUUGCACCGAGUAAGAUGCACUUUCUCGUCUGAAGCAAUAAAUUUUUUAGUAUAUUUGUUGUUCCGAAUACAAAUUGGUAAAUAACUAUUUAUUAUUUGUGUCGAAGUUUUAUUUUCUUAAGUUUCCCACUAAUACUAGAUCCUUCAUUUUAGUUCACUGUUAUUAAGACUUUAUGAAAAGUAGAGAUCAGAGCUAGCCAAAGCUAUCGUACGUGAAAGGUCGUAUGUCUUCUUGGAAAUAUGAGACUAAAGGAGGAGAUUUGUAAAAGGGAAAGCAUAGGAAAAGAAGGAGAAGCAUUUUACAAACUGAUUGCGGUAGACGCACUCAUACGACAUAUGUUAGAAUCUUUUUUUGUAAAAAAAAGAUUUGUCAAAAAAGAUUCUAACAUACUGUCGUAUGAGUGCGUCCUACCGCAAUCAGUUUGUAAAAAACUGCCUGCC